AGUGAACGCUGGCGGUAGGCCUAACACAUGCAAGUCGAACGGCAGCACGGUAAGAGCUUGCUCUUACGGGUGGCGAGUGGCGGACGGGUGAGGAAUACAUCGGAAUCUACUUUUUCGUGGGGGAUAACGUAGGGAAACUUACGCUAAUACCGCAUACGACCUACGGGUGAAAGCAGGGGAUCUUCGGACCUUGCGCGAUUGAAUGAGCCGAUGUCGGAUUAGCUAGUUGGCGGGGUAAAGGCCCACCAAGGCGACGAUCCGUAGCUGGUCUGAGAGGAUGAUCAGCCACACUGGAACUGAGACACGGUCCAGACUCCUACGGGAGGCAGCAGUGGGGAAUAUUGGACAGUGGGCGCAAGCCUGAUCCAGCCAUACCGCGUGGGUGAAGAAGGCCUUCGGGUUGUAAAGCCCUUUUGUUGGGAAAGAAAAGCAGCAGGUUAAUACCCCGCUGUUCUGACGGUACCCAAAGAAUAAGCACCGGCUAACUUCGUG
rnacentral:rRNA from 1 species